GAUGAACGCUGGCGGCGUGCCUAAUACAUGCAAGUCGAGCGAACGGACGAGAAGCUUGCUUCUCUGAUGUUAGCGGCGGACGGGUGAGUAACACGUGGAUAACCUACCUAUAAGACUGGGAUAACUUCGGGAAACCGGAGCUAAUACCGGAUAAUAUUUUGAACCGCAUGGUUCAAAAGUGAAAGACGGUCUUGCUGUCACUUAUAGAUGGAUCCGCGCUGCAUUAGCUAGUUGGUAAGGUAACGGCUUACCAAGGCAACGAUGCAUAGCCGACCUGAGAGGGUGAUCGGCCACACUGGAACGGAGACACGGUCCAGACUCCUACGGGAGGCAGCAGUAGGGAAUCUUCCGCAAUGGGCGAAAGCCUGACGGAGCAACGCCGCGUGAGGGAUGAAGGUCUUCGGAUCGUAAAACUCUGUUAUUAGGGAAGAACAUAUGUGUAAGUAACUGUGCACAUCUUGACGGUACCUAAUCAGAAAGCCACGGCUAACUACGUG
rnacentral:rRNA from 1 species